CCUACGGGUGGCAGCAGUAGGGAAUAUUGCUCAAUGGGGGAAACCCUGAAGCAGCAACGCCGCGUGGAGGAUGAAGGUUCUCGGAUUGUAAACCCCUUUUGUUAGAGGAGAUAAUGACGGUAUCUAACCAAUAAGCACCGGCUAACGCCGUGCCAGCAGCCGCGGGAAUACGGAGGGUGCACGCGGUACUCGGAAUCACGUGGCGGAAAGAGCGCGGAGGCGGGAUUGCAAGGCAAGUGUGAAAUCCUCUGGCUUAACCAUAGAACGGCAUUUGAAACUGGUAUUCUAGAGUAUGGGAGAGGUAGGUGGAAUUCUUGGUGUAGAGGUAAAAUGCGUAGAGAUCAAGAGGAAUACUCAUUGCGAAGGCGAGCUGCUAGAACAUAACUGACGCUGAGGCGCGAAAGCGUGGGGAGCAAACAGGAUUAGAUACCCUUGUAGUC
rnacentral:rRNA from 1 species